GACGAACGCUGGCGGCGUGCUUAACACAUGCAAGUCGAACGGAAAGGCCCUGCUUUUGUGGGGUGCUCGAGUGGCGAACGGGUGAGUAACACGUGAGUAACCUGCCCUUGACUUUGGGAUAACUUCAGGAAACUGGGGCUAAUACCGGAUAGGGGCUCCUGCUGCAUGGUGGGGGUUGGAAAGUUUCGGCGGUUGGGGAUGGACUCGCGGCUUAUCAGCUUGUUGGUGGGGUAGUGGCUUACCAAGGCUUUGACGGGUAGCCGGCCUGAGAGGGUGACCGGCCACAUUGGGACUGAGAUACGGCCCAGACUCCUACGGGAGGCAGCAGUGGGGAAUAUUGCACAAUGGGCGGAAGCCUGAUGCAGCAACGCCGCGUGCGGGAUGACGGCCUUCGGGUUGUAAACCGCUUUCGCCUAUGACGAAGCGUGAGUGACGGUAAUGGGUAAAGAAGCACCGGCUAACUACGUGCCAGCAGCCGCGGUGAUACGUAGGGUGCGAGCGUUGUCCGGAUUUAUUGGGCGUAAAGGGCUCGUAGGUGGUUGAUCGCGUCGGAAGUGUAAUCUUGGGGCUUAACCCUGAGCGUGCUUUCGAUACGGGUUGACUUGAGGAAGGUAGGGGAGAAUGGAAUUCCUGGUGGAGCGGUGGAAUGCGCAGAUAUCAGGAGGAACACCAGUGGCGAAGGCGGUUCUCUGGGCCUUUCCUGACGCUGAGGAGCGAAAGCGUGGGGAGCGAACAGGCUUAGAUACCCUGGUAGUCCACGCUGUAAACGGUGGGUACUAGGUGUGGGGUCCAUUCCACGGGUUCCGUGCCGUAGCUAACGCUUUAAGUACCCCGCCUGGGGAGUACGGCCGCAAGGCUAAAACUCAAGGGAAUUGACGGGGCCCCGCACAAGCGGCGGAGCAUGCGGAUUAAUUCGAUGCAACGCGUAGAACCUUACCUGGGUUUGACAUGGAUCGGGAGUGCUCAGAGAUGGGUGUGCCUCUUUUGGGGUCGGUUCACAGGUGGUGCAUGGCUGUCGUCAGCUCGUGUCGUGAGAUGUUGGGUUAAGUCCCGCAACGAGCGCAACCCUUGUUCACUGUUGCCAGCACGUUAUGGUGGGGACUCAGUGGAGACCGCCGGGGUCAACUCGGAGGAAGGUGGGGAUGACGUCAAGUCAUCAUGCCCCUUAUGUCCAGGGCUUCACGCAUGCUACAAUGGCUGGUACAGAGAGUGGCGAGCCUGUGAGGGUGAACGAAUCUCGGAAAGCCAGUCUCAGUUCGGAUUGGGGUCUGCAACUCGACCUCAUGAAGUCGGAGUCGCUAGUAAUCGCAGAUCAGCAACGCUGCGGUGAAUACGUUCCCGGG
rnacentral:rRNA from 1 species